rnacentral:rRNA from 1 species
GAUGAACGCUGGCGGCGUGCCUAAUACAUGCAAGUCGAGCGAACGGACGAGAAGCUUGCUUCUCUGAUGUUAGCGGCGGACGGGUGAGUAACACGUGGAUAACCUACCUAUAAGACUGGGAUAACUUCGGGAAACCGGAGCUAAUACCGGAUAAUAUUUUGAACCGCAUGGUUCAAAAGUGAAAGACGGUCUUGCUGUCACUUAUAGAUGGAUCCGCGCUGCAUUAGCUAGUUGGUAAGGUAACGGCUUACCAAGGCGACGAUGCAGAGCCGACCGGAGAGGAUGAUCGGCCACCCUGGAACGGAGACACGGUCAAGACUCCUACGGGAGGCACCAGUGGGGAAUCUUCGGCAAGGGGCGGAAGCCUGAGCAAGCCAGACGGAGUGGGUGAAGAAGGUCUUCGGGUUGUAAAGCCCUUUUGUUGGGAAAGAAAAGAAGCAGAUUAAUACCCCCCUGUUGUGACGGUACCAAAAAAAAAAGCACCGGCUAACUUCGUG